rnacentral:lncRNA from 1 species
CCUAGUAGUUUUUCAGGACAUUCAAUAGAAAAAACAUGGUAUUCCGUAAACUAGAUCGGUUACCCACUAGUCCAUUAGAGACUUGUUAUUCUCAUAAUAUGAGAGACGCUUUUAAGGGAUGACUAAGAACACCGGAUAGUACACAAUCCUCCAAACAUGAGUCGCGUAGGGAAAAUACACUUUCCCGAGACCGAUUAAGAAGUCAGAAGUUUACGUAGUCACUGUGGAUGAGUCGCAUGGGGGAAAAAAAUUCGAGACGACUUAAG